UGUGUGUGUGUGUGUGUGUGUGUGUGUGUGUGUAGGGAACAGUCACAUACACACAUGCAGACAGUCACACACACACACA